CGCCUCUGAACAAACCCCUUUCCACAUCCCCUGAACCUACUGGCCACUUCAGAUAGCUUCAUUUCCUGCUGGGGACCACUGAUGGAGGAAGUUUGUAAGCAAUGAUGCUCACAAACAUCAUCCAUGAAGGAAGAGCCAGGAGGAGCCAGGCACCAGAGAUCUUCUGUUUGUAAUACACUAAAUGGAGCCCUCUCCAAGAUGUGUGGCCACUGGAUGAUUUUCAAAGGCUCCCAGGCUCAGACCUUUGGCUCAGACUCCCACUGAUGAUGAAGAGCUCAAAGGAAGAAUACCAACAUCUUUGUCUUCUCACAGAGAGUGAGAUUCAGCAAAUGGAAGAGGAACACGAUAUUUCUGGAGUUUGUCAAUAAACCUCUAGGUGAAACAAGAGAAUUAUGUUUGCACUUCAGGUCAGAUCUACUGAGAAAUGCCUGCAAACACCAGUACAUUGGAGAAAUGUAUUCAAGAACAUUUCAUCCUUGUGAAAAUAUUACCCUGUUACAACAGCCAAGGUCACUGAGACCCAGAGUGAUCUUCUGGUCACAAAAGUUAAAGAUGCCUGGCGGCCACUAUAAUUAAAUUAUGAGUGCUAGGAGAAUAGGGAAAGCAG